GAUGAACGCUAGCGGCAGGCCUAAUACAUGCAAGUCGAGGGGUAGAAGAGGCUUGCUUCUUUGAGACUGGCGCACGGGUGCGUAACGCGUAUGCAACCUACCUUCAUCUGGGGGAUAGCCCGGAGAAAUCCGGAUUAAUACCGCAUAAAAUCACAGGAUGGCAUUAUCCAAUGAUCAAACAUUUAUGGGAUGGAGAUGGGCAUGCGUGUCAUUAGCUAGUUGGCGGGGUAACGGCCCACCAAGGCGACGAUGACUAGGGGAUCUGAGAGGAUGGCCCCCCAAACUGGUACUGAGACACGGACCAGACUCCUACGGGAGGCAGCAGUAAGGAAUAUUGGUCAAUGGAGGCAACUUUGAACCAGCCAUGCCGCGUGCAGGAAGACUGCCCUAUGGGUUGUAAACUGCUUUUAUUCGGGAAUAAACCUUAUUACGUGUAAUAAGCUGAAUGUACCGAAGGAAUAAGGAUCGGCUAACUCCGUGCCAGCCGCCGCAGUAA
rnacentral:rRNA from 1 species